rnacentral:rRNA from 1 species
AUUGAACGCUGGCGGCAGGCCUAACACAUGCAAGUCGAACGGUAACAGGAAGAAGCUUGCUUCUUUGCUGACGAGUGGCGGACGGGUGAGUAAUGUCUGGGAAACUGCCUGAUGGAGGGGGAUAACUACUGGAAACGGUAGCUAAUACCGCAUAACGUCGCAAGACCAAAGAGGGGGACCUUCGGGCCUCUUGCCAUCGGAUGUGCCCAGAUGGGAUUAGCUAGUAGGUGGGGUAACGGCUCACCUAGGCGACGAUCCCUAGCUGGUCUGAGAGGAUGACCAGCCACACUGGAACUGAGACACGGUCCAGACUCCUAAGGGAGGAAGCAGUGGGGAAUAUUGCACAAUGGGCGCAAGCCUGAUGCAGCCAUGCCGCGUGUAUGAAGAAGGCCUUCGGGUUGUAAAGUACUUUCAGCGGGGAGGAAGGGAGUAAAGUUAAUACCUGUACUCAUUGACGUUACCCGCAGAAGAAGCACCGGCUAACUCCGUG